rnacentral:ncRNA from 1 species
UUGCUGUAUGAAAGAAGAGAAGGUUAGCACUUUCCCUUGACAAGGAUGGUAGAAGCCCUUGGGCCUUACAACACGCAUAACAGUUAAGGCAUUGCCACCAUUUUUU